rnacentral:rRNA from 1 species
UAGAGUUUUGAUCCUGGCUCAGGAUGAACGCUGGCGGCGUGCCUAAUACAUGCAAGUCGAGCGAACGGAUAAGGAGCUUGCUCCUUUGAAGUUAGCGGCGGACGGGUGAGUAACACGUGGGUAACCUACCUAUAAGACUGGAAUAACUUCGGGAAACCGGAGCUAAUGCCGGAUAACAUUUGGAACCGCAUGGUUCUAAAGUAAAAGAUGGUUUUGCUAUCACUUAUAGAUGGACCCGCGCCGUAUUAGCUAGUUGGUAAGGUAACGGCUUACCAAGGCAACGAUACGUAGCCGACCUGAGAGGGUGAUCGGCCACACUGGAACUGAGACACGGUCCAGACUCCUACGGGAGGCAGCAGUAGGGAAUCUUCCGCAAUGGACGAAAGUCUGACGGAGCAACGCCGCGUGAGUGAUGAAGGUUUUCGGAUCGUAAAACUCUGUUAUUAGGGAAGAACAAAUGUGUAAGUAACUGUGCACAUCUUGACGGUACCUAAUCAGAAAGCCGCGGCUAAC